UACGUAGGGUGCAAGCGUUGUCCGGAAUUAUUGGGCGUAAAGAGCUCGUAGGCGGUUUGUCGCGUCUGCUGUGAAAACUCGGGGCUUAACCCCGGGCCUGCAGUGGGUACGGGCAGACUAGAGUGCGGUAGGGGAGACUGGAAUUCCUGGUGUAGCGGUGAAAUGCGCAGAUAUCAGGAGGAACACCGGUGGCGAAGGCGGGUCUCUGGGCCGUAACUGACGCUGAGGAGCGAAAGCUAGGGGAGCAAACGGG
rnacentral:rRNA from 1 species